rfam:Cyanothece sp. PCC 8801, complete genome.
GACAGGGUAGCCAAGCUGGUAAGGCAGUAGAGUGAAUAUCCUUAUUCAUUGACUUGCCCAAUUAGGCCGAAGAAUGAGGGUUAUCGUAGGGUUCUAUGAUUCGUGGGUUCAACUCCUACCCCUGUCU